AAACCAACAGGGAUUGCCUUAGUAACGGCGAGUGAAGCGGCAAAAGCUCAAAUUUGAAAUCUGGCACUUUCAGUGUCCGAGUUGUAAUUUGAAGAAGGUAACUUUGGAGUUGGCCCUUGUCUAUGUUCCUUGGAACAGGACGUCACAGAGGGUGAGAAUCCCGUGCGAUGAGGUGUCCAAUUCUAUGUAAAGUGCUUUCGAAGAGUCGAGUUGUUUGGGAAUGCAGCUCUAAGUGGGUGGUAAAUUCCAUCUAAAGCUAAAUAUUGGCGAGAGACCGAUAGCGAACAAGUACAGUGAUGGAAAGAUGAAAAGAACUUUGAAAAGAGAGUGAAAAAGUACGUGAAAUUGUUGAAAGGGAAGGGCUUGAGAUCAGACUCGGUAUUUUGCAAGCCUAUCCUUCGUGGAGAGGUUUAUUAGCAGCUUACCGGGCCAGCAUCGGUUUGGAUGGUAGGAUAAUGGCAUUGGAAUGUGGCUCCUCGGAGUGUUAUAGCCUUUGUUGAUACUGCCUAUCUAGACCGAGGACUGCGUCUUUGACUAGGAUGCUGGCGUAAUGAUCUUAAGCCGCCC
rnacentral:rRNA from 2 species